CAGGUGUCAUCUGACCUUGACCUCAUUUUCAUGGUUCAGUGGUUAUAGUUAAGUUUUUGUGUUUUGGUCUGUUUUUCUUAUACUGUAUGCAAUAGGUCUACUAUAUUUGGUGUAUGGAAUGAUUGUAAGGUGUACAUGUCCAACUGGCAGGUGUCAUCUGACUUUGACCUCAUUUUCAUGGUUCAGUGGUCAAAGUUAAGUUUUUGAGUUUUUGUCUUUUUUCUUAUACUAUAUGCAAUAAGUCUACUAUAUUUGGUGUAUGGAAAUAUUCUAUGAUGUACAUGUCAGUCUCGCAGGUUUUAUUUAACCUUGACCUCAUUUUCACGGUUCAUUGCUCAGUGUUAAGUUUAUGUGUUUCAGUCUGUUUUUCUUAAACUAUAAGCAAUAGGUCAGCUAUAUUUGGUGCAUGGAAGGAUUGUAAGCUGUUCAUGUCUGCCUGGCAUGGUUCAUCUGACCUUGACCUCAUUUUCACGAUUCAUUGGUCAAUGUUUAGUUUUCUUGGUUAAGUCUGUUUCUUAGAAACUAUAAGCAAUAGGUCAACUAUAUUUAGUGUAUGGAAUGAUUGUAAGGUGUACAUGUCUGUCUGGCAGUUAUCAUCUGACCUUGACCUCAUUUUCAUGGUUCAUUGGCCAAUGUUAAGUUUUUGUUUUUUGGUCUGUCUUACAAGUACUUUAAGCAAUAGGUCAACUAUAUUUGGUGUAUGGAAUGGUUGUAAGG